ACUCAAAUGAAUUGACGGGGGCCCGCACAAGCGGCGGAGCGUGUGGUUUAAUUCGAUGCAAAGCGAAGAACCUCACCAGGGUUUGACAUGCACUCAGUAGAAGCUGGAAACAGUGACGACUCGUCAAGUCGAGCAAGUGCACAGGUGCUGCAUGGUUGUCGUCAGCUCGUGUCGUGAGAUGUUGGGUUAAGUCCCGCAACGAGCGCAACCCCCGUCCCGUGUUGAUUUCUCACGGGAUACAGCCCCCCACAAGGGGGAGGAAGGUGGGGAUGACGUCAAAUCCGCAUGGCCCUUACACCCUGGGCUACACACACGCUACAAUGGGUAGGACAAAGGGUUGCCAACCCGCGAGGGGGAGCUAAUCCCAUCAAACCUACCCCCAGUUGGGAUCGGAGGCUGAAACCUGCCUCCGUGAACGCGGAGUCGCUAGUAACCGCAGGUCAGCACACUGCGGUGAAUACGUUCCCGGGCCUUGUACACACCGCCCGU
rnacentral:rRNA from 1 species